rnacentral:rRNA from 1 species
CAGUCGCCACGGGAAUACGUAGGUGGCAAGCGAUGUCCGGAAUUAUUGGGCGUAAAGGGCUCGCAGGCGGUUUCUUAAGUCUGAUGUGAAAGCCCCCGGCUCAACCGGGGAGGGUCAUUGGAAACUGGGAAACUUGAGUGCAGAAGAGGAGAGUGGAAUUCCACGUGUAGCGGUGAAGUGCGUAGAGAUGUGGAGGAACACCAGUGGCGAAGGCGACUCUCUGGUCUGUAACUGACGCUGAGGAGCGAAAGCGUGGGGAGCGAACAGGAUUAGAUACCCCUGUAGUCCCUGUCUCUUAUAA